rnacentral:rRNA from 1 species
UACGGGGGGGGCAAGCGUUGUUCGGAAUUACUGGGCGUAAAGGGCGCGUAGGCGGUGGGACAAGUGGGUGGUGAAACCUCCCAGCUUAACUGGGAGCCGGCCAUCCAAACUGUCCCGCUGGAGUGUGGGAGGGGAAAGUGGAAUUCCCGGUGUAGCGGUGAAAUGCGUAGAGAUCGGGAGGAACACCGGUGGCGAAGGCGGCUUUCUGGACCACUACUGACGCUGAGGCGCGAAAGCCAGGGGAGCAAACAGG